GACAGAGGCCUCGAGCGUUUAGGCGGAAUCACUGGGCUUAAAGCGUGUGUAGGCGGGCCCGUAAGUGUCUUGUGAAAUCCCACGGCUCAACCGUGGAACUGCUGGGCAUACUGCGGGUCUUGGGCCAACUAGGGGCAGCCGGAACAAGCGGUGGAGCGGUGAAAUGCGUAGAUAUCGCUUGGAACGCCAAUGGGUGAAGACAGCUCGCUGGGGGUGUC
rnacentral:rRNA from 1 species